CCUACGGGAGGCAGCAGUGAGGAAUAUUGGUCAAUGGCCGGAAGGCUGAACCAGCCAUGCCGCGUGAAGGUCAGUGCCCUAUGGGCGUUAAACUUCUUUUGUGCGGGAGCAAUAAUGGUCACGUGUGGCCAGACGAGAGUACCGUACGAAUAAGCAUCGGCUAACUCCGUGCCAGCAGCCGCGGUAAUACGGGAGAUGCAAGCGUUAUCCGGAUUUAUUGGGGUUAAAGGGGUCGUAAGCUGUGAGGUAAGUCAGCGGUGAAAUGCCCCCGCUCAACGGGGUGAAGUGCCAUUGAUACUGCCUGGCUGGAGUGCGGAUGACGUGGGAGGAAUGUGUGGUGUAGCGGUGAAAUGCAUAGAUAUCACACAGAACACCGAUUGCGAAGGCAUCUCACGAAUCCGCGAUUGACGCUGAUGCACGAAAGCGUGGGUAUCAAACAGGAUUAGAUACCCCAGUAGUC
rnacentral:rRNA from 1 species